rnacentral:rRNA from 1 species
UACGGAGGAUCCAAGCGUUAUCCGGAAUCAUUGGGUUUAAAGGGUCCGUAGGCGGGUUUGUAAGUCAGUGGUGAAAGCCCAUCGCUCAACGGUGGAACGGCCAUUGAUACUGCAAGACUUGAAUUAUUAGGAAGUAACUAGAAUAUGUAGUGUAGCGGUGAAAUGCUUAGAGAUUACAUGGAAUACCAAUUGCGAAGGCAGGUUACUACCAAUAUAUUGACGCUGAUGGACGAAAGCGUGGGGAGCGAACAGG